rnacentral:rRNA from 1 species
AUAUCAUUCAGCGGAGGAAAAGAAACCAACAGGGAUUGCCUCAGUAACGGCGAGUGAAGCGGCAAGAGCUCAGAUUUGAAAUCGGCCAACCGGCUGAGUUGUAAUCUGUAGAGGAAGGUUCGGCUGAAGUGCUGGCUAAAGUCUUCUGGAAGGGAGCGCCGUAGAGGGUGAGAGCCCCGUCUAGCCUGCGUCUGACGCCAUGUGUACCUCCUUCGAAGAGUCGAGUUGUUUGGGAAUGCAGCUCAAAAUGGGUGGUAAAUUCCAUCUAAAGCUAAAUAUAAGCCAGAGACCGAUAGCGCACAAGUA